UAAAACUCAAAUGAAUUGACGGGGGCCCGCACAAGCGGUGGAGCAUGUGGUUUAAUUCGAUGCAACGCGAAGAACCUUACCUGGUCUUGACAUCCACAGAAGAAUCCAGAGAUGGAUUUGUGCCUUCGGGAACUGUGAGACAGGUGCUGCAUGGCUGUCGUCAGCUCGUGUUGUGAAAUGUUGGGUUAAGUCCCGCAACGAGCGCAACCCUUAUCCUUUGUUGCCAGCGAUCCGGUCGGGAACUCAAAGGAGACUGCCAGUGAUAAACUGGAGGAAGGUGGGGAUGACGUCAAGUCAUCAUGGCCCUUACGACCAGGGCUACACACGUGCUACAAUGGCGCAUACAAAGAGAAGCGACCUCGCGAGAGCAAGCGGACCUCAUAAAGUGCGUCGUAGUCCGGAUUGGAGUCUGCAACUCGACUCCAUGAAGUCGGAAUCGCUAGUAAUCGUGGAUCAGAAUGCCACGGUGAAUACGUUCCCGGGCCUUGUACACACCGCCCGUCACACCAUGGGAGUGGGUUGCAAAAGAAGUAGGUAGCUUAACCUUCGGGAGGGCGCUUACCACUUUGUGAUUCAUGACUGGGGUGAAGUCGUAACAAGGUAACCGUAGGGGAACCUGCGGUUGGAUCACCUCCUUACCUUAAAGAAGC
rnacentral:rRNA from 1 species